rnacentral:rRNA from 1 species
AUGCCCCCGUGGGAGCGCUUCCAUGAGCUGUGCCUCCUUCGUUUUGGGCCGCCGAUCCGCGGGAGCCACCUGGCCGAGUUGGGCCGCCUUCCCUUCACCUCUACGGUGCAAGACUACACCGACCGCUUUCAGGCCCUGGCGUGCCACGCGUCCGGCAUGACGGCUCACCAGCGGGCCGAACUCUUUGUCGGCGGUCUGCCAGAUCAUAUCCGCGUGGACGUCGAGCUGCAGGGACCCCAGGACCUCCAAACAGCCAUGUAUUACGCCCACGCGUUCGAGCGCCGCGCGGUGGCCAUGCAGCAGGCAUCACCGUCUCGGGCCACUGGGCCGCUACCCGGACCAGAUGUUCCCGCGCAGGGUCGGCCUGCUCAGGCUUCCGCGGCACCCCUCGCCGCGACCGCGGCGCGCCCGUUCCGCCGGCUCACCUUGGCCGAGCUACUCGAGCGUCGCCGCCAAGGGUUGUGCUUCAACUGCGAUGAGCCCUACACGCCCGGCCAUGUCUGCCCGCGACUCUUCUACCUGGAGGCUGCAGACUACAUUGAGGAGGACGCCGUCGCCGCCGACCUGACCGCCCCAGCUGUCGCGAAGGUGUUUGACGCUAGUUGA